rnacentral:rRNA from 1 species
UACAGAGGGGGCAAGCGUUGUUCGGAAUUACUGGGCGUAAAGGGCGCGUAGGCGCCUUCUAAGUCGAACGUGAAAUCCCCGGGCUCAACCCGGGAACUGCGUCCGAUACUGGAAGGCUUAAAUCCGGGAGAGGGAUGCGGAAUUCCAGGUGUAGCGGUGAAAUGCGUAGAUAUCUGGAGGAACACCGGUGGCGAAGGCGGCAUCCUGGACCGGCAUUGACGCUGAGGCGCGAAAGCCAGGGGAGCAAAGCGGG